AUAGCACCCCGGCCUGCCGCUGGCACGAAAGUGCGAGAGGAAAGUCCGGGCGACAUAGAGCACUCCGCUUCUGAAAAUGGAAGGCGAUGGUGACAUCGGGUAUAGGCAGAAGAAAACAACCGCCUUGCAAAAGGUAAGGGUGAGAAGGUGGAGCAAGAGACCACCAGGCACCAAGUGAUUGGUGUGCUGUGCCGGCCGGAGGUCGCAAGUUCAUGUAAACCGCAGGAUGAAAGCUGCUCGUUUGACAUUGCGUGACACGCAAUACUGCGGAGGGUGGAACGCUUGAGCCGUGGGGUGACCCAUGGAUUAGAUAAAUGGCAGGCGUUCUUGCCGGCCUUCUCGGCAGGCGAGAAUACAGAACCCGGCUUAUAGGGGUGCUAUUUCU
rfam:Prevotella baroniae F0067 contig00004, whole genome shotgun sequence.